rnacentral:rRNA from 1 species
AUGCACGCUGGCGGCGUGCCUAAUACAUGCAAGUCGAGCGAACGGACGAGAAGCUUGCUUCUCUGAUGUUAGCGGCGGACGGGUGAGUAACACGUGGAUAACCUACCUAUAAGACUGGGAUAACUUCGGGAAACCGGAGCUAAUACCGGAUAAUAUUUUGAACCGCAUGGUUCAAAAGUGAAAGACGGUCUUGCUGUCACUUAUAGAUGGAUCCGCGCUGCAUUAGCUAGUUGGUAAGGUAACGGCUUACCAAGGCAACGAUGCAUAGCCGACCUGAGAGGGUGAUCGGCCACACUGGAACUGAGACACGGUCCAGACUCCUACGGGAGGCAGCAGUAGGGAAUCUUCCGCAAUGGGCGAAAGCCUGACGGAGCAACGCCGCGUGAGUGAUGAAGGUCUUCGGAUCGUAAAACUCUGUUAUUAGGGAAGAACAUAUGUGUAAGCAACUGUGCACAUCUUGACGGUACCUAAUCAGAAAGCCACGGCUAACUACGUG